CGCCCUGCCACGCGUAGACGCUCGCGCGAUCGAGCGCCUCCUCGGGCAUCAUGCCCCGUCGCAGCGGGCCCCGGUAGGCCGCCGCAGCGGCAUUGGCCAGUGACAGCGGCUUGCGCGGGAAAAGGCCGCCCGUGGCGCGCGCUUCGAGUUGGCCCGUAAAGAGCCGCAGCGCCAGCACGAGCCGGCACUCGUCGAGCCAUGCGCCGCUGAUCUCGCCGUCGAGCCAUAUGUCGACGGCGUUUGGCCCGCUCCGGGCAAUGUAGUCGUACACGGCGUCGGGCACGGCAAACCUGGACGGCACCGGCAGCAGCGCGCGGCGCACCUGGGCGGCGCCCGCCGGCAGCGGCUCAAACAGGUCGGCGGUGCGCAACAGACGAGACAGCGCUUCGGCGUCGUUGCUCUCACGCGCCUCCUGGGUCCGUCUCGGCGUCUCGCUCGCAUCAUAGACGAGCGCGUGCAAAAAGGACGGCAGGACGACAGAGUGGGGCUCGAGUGCGGGCGCGCCGUCGAGACGCACCAUUUCGGCGGCGCCGGGGUCCAGCAGUGACAUGCCCGUGGGCGUGGCGGCGACUGCCACCGGCGUCGCAUCGCCGUCGUCGCCGACACGAAAGAGAACCACCCUGUCGUAGGCAUCGUUCUGCACCGCCAUGACAUAGUAGGACGCGCCGGGGUCGCAGCCGCCGACAAAGGCCGGCCCGGUGGCGUCGAGCACGUCGUACCACGCUGCGGGAAAGGGCUCGACCGCGCCCGCAAAGUCGCUCGGCGCUAGACGCGCGACCUUUGCCGCGCGCCGCGCCGCCGCACCGACGGCCAGAGCCAGGUCAUAGGCGGCCGCGACGGGGUCGUCGACGGCCUCUAGGUCAAGUUGGCGCGCGUGCUCAAAGGCGCUCUCGGGCUCGAGCGCCGCGUAGGCGCGCUGCACGUCGACAAACGUGGGCGGCCAGUCUGUGGCAUGUCGUUGCGUGGCCGCGACGGCAUCGGGGUCGGCGGCGAGCGUGCGCCACAGCGCACUGUAGGCGCGCAGCGGCACGGCGCACUCGGUCUCAUCGGCAGUCGACAGGCGCGCCCGCGCCGUACCGCCGCCCAUGGCGCCUCGCGUCAGACGCAUGGCCUCGUAGAGAUCGGCCACGUCAGCGGUGGCGCCACCCAGGCGAUCGCAGAGGGCCGCGACGGUGGCGACAUCCCCGCGCGCGUCCCACGGCGCGCUCGGCUCUGGCUCGUCGGCUCUAUAUUGCUUGCCGACGGGCGACGUGGACGGUUCCGAUCGGGCCUGUUGUUGCAACGCGUCGUCGCCGUCGCUCUGGGAGAGUCGGCGCUUCAUCGGAUCGGGGGGUGACGAGUGAGAAACGGGCUGUCUUGUCCUUUGUCAGAGGCGGGAACACAGACCGCGCCGACCCUUUUUUUGGUGCCGCCGACGUAGUGGCCGGCCGUCCGACGCACGCCGACCAGCGUGUUCACAUGCCCCAGUGUGAAAAAGGAAAUGUAAAAAGGUCUGCAACGGCCAAUAAUCUCACCGGGCGACACCUGGUGGCGCGCGCAAAUACCAACAAGAAAGAUCAGUCGCGAGGCAUUUCCGCGGACGGGCACCGCGCAGUCGCU
rnacentral:lncRNA from 1 species